GGGCCUCUGAACAAGAGGGGCGUGCAGAGCGGCUUUUUGGCCUCAGUUAACUCUUAAAUGGGUGUCAGAGGCACUGUCUUCCCCUAGCUAUGCGCCUCGUGCCUGGGAGCCUUAGGGCCACACGGAAGGGUAGAAAUCAGUUUCAGAGAUUCCUGCUCCCAGCCCAGGCCCAGACGGCAACAGAAGCUCAUGGGGAGUGAAGGGACAGGAUGGAGCGGGAGCGGCGCCAAAGCACGGGGAGAACCAGAGGCCGCAGGAAUGGCAGACUCUGGACAUGCUCCUAGAGAUGGGAGGUCAAAAUGAUCAACGUUCAGGGUCCCUUCAUCUCAGAGGGUCUCGAGUCACCUCAUUUAAAGUGUGGCCUGGGACACCUCCUAUCCAGCCAUACGCCGCCCAGGACUGGCUCAACAGCUCCACCCUCCACUGCUGUUCACCCAUGACACGUCACUUCCCACCCGCCACUGCUGGCUCACCUGUGACACCCCAGGCAGCUCAGAUGCCCGGCAGGUCCUGCUGGUGUGUGUUAGCCGGGGUCUCCAAAGAACCAGAGCCAGCAGGGGACACACCCAUCUCUGUAUCUGGAGAAAAAGAUCGAUGAGAAGGAAUCUGCUCCUGUGAUGAUGGAGGCUGACAAGUCCCGAGAGCCACGGUUGGCACCCUGGAGACCCCUGAGGGUGAUACCACCACUCCAGGCUGAAAGCUGGCAGGCUUGAGACCCUGGGAGAGCUGGCCCUCUGACUCCUGGGACUUCUUAUUCUAUCCUAGUAUUUCCUCAGCUGAGUGCAUGGGGCCAGACCACACUGGGGAGGGCAGUCAGCGUCACUCAGAGCACCGGGUCAUCUCAUGCAGAAACACCCUCAAAGAAAUAGCCCAAAUUAUGCUGACCAAAUAUCUGGGCACCCCGUGCCCCAGACAAGUUGACACAGAAAAUUAACCAUCACAGGUUAACUCCAUCCAGGAGUGGAAUUGCUGGGUCAUAGAGAAGGCAUAGGAAUUCACAGAAAUCACCAAACGGUUUUCAGGCGGUUGUGCCAUGUUAAACUCCCACUGGAAAGAGAGGAGAGCUGUGAUUGUUCCACGUCCUCAGCAACGUUUAGAAUAGGCAGUCUUUGGCCGGGCCGGGCACAGAGGCUCAAACCUGUAACCCCAGCACUUUGGGAGGCCAUAGUGGGUGGAUUACCUGAGAUCAAGAGUUCAAGACCAGCCUGGCCAACAUGGUUAAACCCCGUCUCUAUUAAAAAUGCAAAAAUUAGCCAGGCGUGGUGGUGCGUGCCUGUAAUUCCAGCUACUUGGGGGCUGAGGCAGGAGAAUCGUUUGAACCCAGGAGGCAGAGUUUGCAGCGAGCCGAGAUCGCGCCACUGCACUCCAGCCUGGGCAACAGAAUGAGACUCUGUCUCCAAAAAAAGAAAAAAUAAAUAAAGAAAAGUCAUUCUGUA
ensembl:lncRNA LINC03048 long intergenic non-protein coding RNA 3048